rnacentral:rRNA from 1 species
GACGAACGCUGGCGGCGUGCUUAACACAUGCAAGUCGAACGGAAAGGCCCUGCUUUUGUGGGGUGCUCGAGUGGCGAACGGGUGAGUAACACGUGAGUAAUCUGCCCUUGACUUUGGGAUAACUUCAGGAAACUGGGGCUAAUACCGGAUAGGAGCUCCUGCUGCAUGGUGGGGGUUGGAAAGUUUCGGCGGUUGGGGAUGGACUCGCGGCUUAUCAGCUUGUUGGUGGGGUAGUGGCUUACCAAGGCUUUGACGGGUAGCCGGCCUGAGAGGGUGACCGGCCACAUUGGGACUGAGAUACGGCCCAGACUCCUACGGGAGGCAGCAGUGGGGAAUAUUGCACAAUGGGCGGAAGCCUGAUGCAGCAACGCCGCGUGCGGGAUGACGGCCUUCGGGUUGUAAACCGCUUUCGCCUGUGACGAAGCGUGAGUGACGGUAAUGGUAAAGAAGCACCGGCUAACUACGUG